rnacentral:pre_miRNA from 1 species
AGUAGUACUCCCUCCGUUCCAAAAAAAAAAAAGGACAAACCCUGGGUUUCCGUGUUCAAUUUUGAUUAUCCGUCUUAUAUGAAAUUUUUUAUAAUUCGUAUUUUUAUUGUUGUUAGAUGAUAAAACAUGAUUAAUAUUUUAUGCGUGACUUGUCUUUUUAAUUUUUUUCAUAAUUUUUUCAAAUAAGACGGACGGUCAAAUGUUAUACACGAAAACUAAAGUUUAUAUUUUUUGGACGGAGGGAGCAUGC